CGCAGAGUUCUCGGCGCGGGUGGCCGAGGUGUGGCCGGCUUCGUGCCGGAGCUUGUAGUUUGUCGUGGCGGGAUCGAGGGCUCCGCCGAUCCCUGCAGCUCAGGCGGUGCCGGUGGGAACAAGUGAUCCGUCCAUCAGAUCGCAGGCGGGGGGAGAAUGAUUGUCGCUGAAUCCUGGGGUCACCGCCGUUCGUCUCAUGCUUUUCACUGGAUCGGUCGACCCUCUCCUUAUGCACCGGUAAGAAACCUUUCCCCUUUCGAAUUCGUCCAUAAAACGUGUAGUUGCUGUUGAUGUUGGGUUCUGGAUCGCUGUGUCAUGGGCGCCUAUGAGCUCAUCGCGGUGGGACCGCUUCGCGUCGGGCGGCCAUGGCUAGCUAGUAGGGAGAGAAGGAACGCUGGGAGGCCGUGAGGUAGAAGACAUCGCGCGACCGUCGGAUUUGAACUGAGGGCUGAGAUUAGAUCUGGGAGGGUUGGUUGUCGGCCGUUGAUGCGAGGAUGGACGAACCGGAUCAGGACUCCCAAACCGCUUCACGUUAUUUAAUCGGAGUCGUUGAUCUUCGAAUCCACGAUCGAAAUCGAGUCUUCGCUAUUUUAAAUCUCUGCCAUUGAUUCCGGAUCCAAGGGGCCGGAUGGCGUACAGGUUCGUGGCCGACUAGUUUUAAUCUGGACGCCCCGUUAGGAUCAGGCGGCCGAGAUCAAACCGCACCUAUUCGCUCUGGCACAAUUGCAUAAGAGUCCCUCGGGAAGUAGGAAAUAGAACCCACCAUCCACCUUCACUGUGCGCCGUGUCUUGGGGGUUUUGUCCCGAACCCCCUGGGUUUCUCUAGAUUUGAGGCCUGGUCCAGUGUAAUAUUAAACCAGAGAAAUUAAUCUAUAAAUGGGUUUUUAAUAAAUAAAUAAAUGUUAGAACUUGAUUAAAUCAUAGAAAAUCCAUUUUUAGUCCAAAUUAACCCAUUCAACUUUCUAUAUUUUUGUAAUAUUAUUCUCUAUCACUUAGAGACUCUGUUUUGUCAUGAAAAUAGUAAGAAAAAUAAUUCCCCAUUAAUCCUAUUUUAAGCACAUAAAACCUUUGGAAAUUCAUAUCUUAAAAUCUAUAACUCCAAAAAUUAUGAUUCCUGUUCCUAGGAUUUUAUUUUAACGAGUAGAUUAUUAUUAUGUAUUUUUUACAUGUUUGGUGUGAUGUUAAUUUUCUCUAUAUAUUGUGCUUGUUUGUAUUGUGGCGAGUAGAAGAGCCUAUGACCGAGGAUCCUGGUGACCAGCUGAUAGAAGUAGCUGAGCAGGAGCUCAUUGAAGGCAAGUUGUGCCCUUGAUCACUUCUUUUACCCAUUCAUGUUCUUAUUAAUCAUAAUGAUUUGCAUAGGUUAAUUUUGAUGGGACCCAAUAGGUUACCCUAGAUUUUGACUAUCUUUAUACCUUGUUUCACCACUAGUUUUACUACUAAAUUUUUGGAUAGUACAUGCUAUUGCUUUAUGUGGCUUUGGGUAUAAAGAUAUUCAUCACUCAUUGUUAUACUUUUUAUUAUCUGUUUAUUAUUAUUAUUCAUGAUAAGAUCAUUAUGUUAAUGGGAACAUGGAGAACCACCCAGGAAAACAGUGCUACCACAAGAGUUUAAUGGGACGCCCUUGGCUGAUUAACUAGGAAAGCUAGUGGAUGACUACCUUACCUGAAAGGGGCAAGGGCAGUAGGGGAGUGGUCAGUGUAGGGAGGUCCUUGGGUUGAUUUUGCUGCGAUGGCGGUCAGGCGAGGGAUUCCUGCACUGGAGCUUCCUAUAAACUGUAGCGGGUUUUCUGAAGCUAGUGGAACUUUGUAAAGGCCUCGUAGUGGUACCCUGCCUCGCUUCCUAGGUAGAGGUGUAUGGAGUCUGAUCAACUCCGUGGCAAAUGGGUAACACGACUUGUGGGUAAAGAUGCGCAACCUCUGCAGAGUGUACAACUGGUAUACUAGCCGUGCUCACGGUCAUGAGCGGCUCGGACACUCACAUGAUUAACUUAUGGAACUUAAACUUAAUCUAUCAUUUCAUUGCAUCUGGGAUUAUUUCAUUAUUACUUUUAUUUAUUAUUUCUAAGGUUUGGUAUUUACUUAUACUUAGUAAUUGCUAAUAAAAUUUUGACCAACUUAUAAAAGCAAUGCUCAGCUUCAGCCUUUAUUUCAUUGAUCAGCCUUACACUUCAUGAACUCCCACCUUUGGUGAGUUCAUGCCACAUUAUUCCCCACAACUUGUUGAGCGAUGAACAUGUAGGGGUGGGCACAUUUUUACCAGAAACCGAAAACCGAACCGAACCGAACCGAACCGAAAUUUCGGUUUUUCGGUAGUUCGGUUCGGUUUUGGUUUUUGUAUCUCAAAAGUUCGGUUUUUGGUAUCGUAAUCGGUUUUACCGUAUACCAAACCGAAAUACCAAAAAACCGAAUUACCUAACUUUAUCAAUUCUAAAAUUUGGCUAUUCGAUUAUGUGAACUAAAUGUGUGAAACAAUUAAAUUGUUAUUACUUAUUUAUAUGUGAUGUAUGAUGUAUCUCUAAAUAUUUGUACAUAUAUAAUUUUGACUUUUUAAAAUUAUGUGUAAUCUAUCAUAUAAACUUUUUGUAUGUGUUGUCUUGAGUACAAGUUUGGUAUUCGGUUUUUACCGAAAAACCGAUGUAAAAAACCGAAACCGAACUUCUCGGUUUUCCAUUUUCAAGAAAACCGAUCGGUUUCUAAUGUUUAGAAAACCGAAGUUUUUUAAAACCGAAAAACCAAACCGAAGUUUCAAAAAAACCGAAUGCCCAGCCCUAUGAACAUGUGUGAGCUCACCCUUGCUGUCUCACACCCCCACAAGAGAAGAACAGGUGAUCGAAGAGGAGCCGCCUAACACUGAGGCUUUCGACUUGAUCUAGGUGGCGUCUCCCAGUCAGCUUUUUAGCGCCAAGGAUAGAUUUUAGAUCCUGUGAUAUUUAUCUCUUAUUUUGUAAGACUUCCGCUAUGUAAUAAGUACUCUGAUUAUAUUGUGACAUUUAUCUCUAUACACUCUGUUAUUAUAUAUGUUGUCUUCUCUGGCGCAUGUAUGAGAUGC
rnacentral:lncRNA from 1 species